GAAGGCAGUACUUUACUUCAAGUCUGACAAUGAUUGUUUUCUACUUUCAGCUACUUUAGAUCGCCGAUGAAAUUCAAUUCUUAAGAAACUGAGCAGAUCUGGUACCUACAAUGGUUUAGAGCCCCUAGUGGCGAAAAUUACACAGUGUUGAUUUAAAGCCGCUGUCACACCUUGACGAUUCAGACCAGCUUAUGCCUGACAUACGAAAAAUUUGUCAAAAACGCUAGCAUACGUUGGAUAAGUUAUGAGUACGCUGAAACAUGUCAACAUACGGGGAGUACAUACCGCAGUAUGCCAGCGUAUGUCGUACGUGGGCCAUAAGUUACAGGUAAGUUAUCUGAUCAUUGACGUACGUUGUUAUUUUAUAACUUAACGUUAUAGUUACUCAUAAGUAGCGCAGGGAUUAAAGUAUUGACCACCAAAAACCUUCUUUCUUUCUUUUUCCUUUUUAUUCUUUUUUGGGGGCAGGUGGUAAACAACAGCUAGGUUAAUCCCGCAAUCAAAGACAUCUUUUUAUCUUUACGCCUUCAGGCGCAUCGCUGCCCCCUUCAGGACACUGGCUUGUUCAUUAUGCUGCCAUGUGUUCUGCAUAAGUCAGGCUGCCAUUGGACAGAAGUUCUGGACUCGUUAUGAAUACUCUAUUUAUACGCCUAAAAUA